AUUUAAUUCAUAUAAUUAAUAAGAACUUAGCUGACAUAUUAAAUAUCAAUAUCGGUCAAUAAAAGUGGUACUAAACUAGGCUUCAUUUUAUUUAUGCAAAAUAUUCAACUAUAAAUAAUAUUUUCUUUGGGGUGAAAUAUGACCAGGACAUUUUCUUGACAGGUUUUGUGAGAUUUAACACAAACGUCACAUGUACUGUAUUUCUAAUCAGUUGAUUUUGAACUGAUUGUUGUUUUUAUAUAUAAAUCUCAAUAAGGGAUCAUCAGCUGAUGGAAAGUACAGCUUGGGCUGAUAUGUGCUCAGCUGUUGUACCCUCAGGUGUGAGUGGAAAUGAGGUUUGAAUACAAACACAGCUGAUCACUCAACAAUGGUCCAUUUUGAAGUGAUACAACAUCUUUAACCUGGUCGUGAUGCGUGGGACAACAAUAUCCAGUGGUGGACUGGCGGUAGACUUUGAAUGAAAAUGGUGCCGUACUCUUGUGUACACUCUUGGGUAACUAAAUUUUUUUCAUUCAAAGACUUGUUUUCAUGCACAUCAGAUUAAAUAAGGUGUCUACCCAACCCUGUUGGCCAUUGUGUCCAGCACAUAAAUGCUAUUGUCGUUACCAACACACACACACUCAGCUCAACCGCUGAGCUCUCGAGAAACAGCGAGGCUAUUUUGACACAUUUGCUUAAUGCCAAGUUUCAUAGGUUCCCUAUUCAGGGGUCACAUUGUCAGCAAAACAUUUCAGCUUAGUCGCAAAACCGUACGUGAUUUGCAAAGUCAUCAAACAGCAUGUCUCUUCAGAGCCAUUGUGAGUCAAACUGCAAAUCGGUUAUGUGUUGUGAAGGUCCAACAUUUUGAGUGAGGUUAUAAUUGUUUUCAUGAAAAUAAGAGUUGGAAAGACCCCAGAGCGUUCCCCUGAAUCUAAUUUUAGGGACUUUACUUUUUAGUGAUUUAGAGUCACUUCUUAUAGUAAAUGUUAUGUAACCAUUGUUUGAUGGCAGUAUUCCUGCUUAGCAUUUCCUUUCUUCCUUGUUUACAAUCUGCUGUCACCUCCCAGAUGGUUAGAAUUCGACCUUGCCUGGGCGUUUCCUUCUCUAUUGUGUAAAUGCGAACACCAUAGAGGAGAACAGGUGCCUUCUGUUUCCAUCACUGAAAUGCUGUCUGUUGAGAAGUGUGGAGACAGUCACUGGCACGGGGAAGACUUCCUUUCCAUCUGGCUUUGCUUUAGUUCGCGACCUUAUUCAAAUGGCAAUGAGCGCGAUCGUUUUACCCCCUCUGUCAGCGCUUGUGUGUUUGAUGCUUUUGUGUCGAGUCGAGGGGGAUGAAACAGAAUGCGGGGAGUUCAGUGGGUUCAGUAUUGAUGACAGUGUUUAGGUAUAGCGAUCCUGUUGUUGAAGAUAAUGAGGAAUAAACCACUUGGUUCAAAGCACACCACUGAGUGAUGUAAAUAUCUGCACUUUUCCAUUUUAUCUCUUUAUAAACCUCCUGAAAUUCUGUCUAGGUAGCUCACUAGGUUUAAGCUUUCAGACAUUUCUAUUUGUGAUUGUUUUUGCGAACAUUGCGCACAAUCACAACUCUACCAUGUUUGUUUUAUAUUAUUGUAUCACCUCUGCCUCCGAGAGUAAAUCAAAGGGUAGUUGCUGUCACUAACAUCAGAUAUAGUAUACUCUGGGGUGGUUCCAUCUUAUGAGAAAGUCUUAUAUGAUAUACCAUCAUAUUAACAUUAAUAGUAAUCAUAAGUCUAACUGCUGUCCUGUAUUAAUAAUCAAAUAUUGCAAGUGUAUUCAUAUGUUGGUAAAUCGCAUUUAAACCCUAGUUUCAGUACAGUAUAUAAGAUGGACCAAUAUUAUUAUAGAGUUCUUAGGAAUCAAAUAUAUGUAACAUUUUAUGACUAUGCUGUAUGUAAAAAGUAAGGCAGUGACAAUAUUUGAGUAAUAAAAGCUGUGCAGUUACGAUUACAAUCUUUAAAAAUAGAAGAAAAAAGAAAUGUUUUAAAGGUCUGAAGUCUGUGAACAAUAUUACUAAAAUAUGGGAAACUUUUAUUUUUUGGAGUACCUCUCUCUUUCUCUUGCUGUAUAUCUAUAUAUUUUUUACAGUUGACCCUUAGCUUUGCGAACUUAUUAUUAUGUUGUGAACGAAUGCUGUUAUUUUUUGCUGAGCAGAUCUGAGGUCUAUUCAAUGUUUUUCCUUAUUGUUAUAAUGUCCAGUAGUUGAACUCCUUUCGUUAUUGUUGUUAGAGAACUAUAGUGAUACUGCUAUGAAUGUGAUUUAGUCCAAGUGAGAAAUAAAUGCAACUGCAAUGCAACUGAAAAUGUGCAACAAGUGUGUUUGUCUCAUUAUUGUUGAUUGUGACAUGAGGAAGAUGACGAAUCCUUAAAGAGACAGUUCACCCAAAAAUGAAAAUUGUCAUUUUAUUUAGGAAGUUACAAACCUGUAAGUGUUUUUCAUAUGUGGAACAAAAAAAAAACAAUGUUGAUACUUGUUUUGGUGAAUUUUUUUUUUUUUUUUUUAGUCCUUUUGGGACCUUGACAGUUCCAGUCCCCAUCCACUUCCAUUGUAUUGAAAAGAGCAGCUUUGGAGCUAUAUGAGGUUGAAUAAAAUGAAGACAUCAUACUUAUGGGACAUACAGGUGUAUCUCAAUAAAUUAGAUUGUCG
ensembl:lncRNA